UACGUAGGGGGCAAGCGUUGUCCGGAUUUAUUGGGCGUAAAGAGCGUGUAGGCGGCCAGACAGGUCCGUUGUGAAAACUCGAGGCUCAACCUCCAGCGGUCGUUGGAAACUACCCGGCUAGAGUCCGGAAGAGGAGAGUGGAAUUCCUGGUGUAGCGGUGAAAUGCGCAGAUAUCAGGAAGAACACCGAUGGCGAAAGCAGCUCUCUGGGACGGUACUGACGCUGAGGCGUGAAAGCGUGGGGAGCGAACAGG
rnacentral:rRNA from 1 species